CCAUUUUCCCCCUUUCUCUUCAUCUUUUUUUCUUCAAUCUCAAUCCAUUUUUCUCCUUUCUCUUCAUCUUCUUUUCUUCAAUCUUCAAAAGCCAAAAUGAAAUAUUUAUUUUUUUUUCGAUGCCGUUGAUGAGUUAGUGUAAUUUUCGAUUUGGUGCAAAUCAAUGGCAUCCAAUCCAUUUGUCUGCGUGUAAUUUUGAUUCAAUCUUCAAAAAACAAACAAAUUUUGAUGAGUUCUUUCAAAAGGCAAACAAUCUUCAAUGGCAAAUCAAUGACAUCCAAUCUUCAAAAGACAAACAAAUUUUGAUGUUGGUGUAAUUUUUAAUUUGGUGCAAAUCAAUAAUGAGUUUCUUUUUUGAUGCAAGACAAAUGGAUUUUUAACCCAGUUGAUUUUUAAUCCAAGAACUCAUCAAUGGCAUCCAAGAACUCAUCAAGAAUCUUCAACCCACUUGAUUUGGUGUUGAUUUUUUAAUUUCUUGAAAUUCAAGAAAUGUGUGUUGCGUGUGUGUAUGGGUUGUUGUUUUUCAAUUCCAAUGAAGUGCAUUUGUGUGUGUUUUUCGUCCCUUAUGUGUGUGUAAAUUUGUGUAUGUAUCGGGUCAGCUGUGUGUUUUCUGUGAAUGAAAAAAUGAGGAGUGAUGUGCGAUGUUGAGAUUGAAUGUUUGUGUGUUGUUUGAUCUUUGUUGUUGG
rnacentral:lncRNA from 1 species